ensembl:lncRNA
GCGGUGUGAUAGGGUGACAGUAUUCUAGACAGUGUGAUAGGGUGACAGUAUUAGAGACAGUGUGAUAGGGUGACAGUAUUAGAGACUAGACAGUGUGAUAGGGUGACCGUAUUAGAGACUAGAUAGUGUGAUAGGGUGACAGUAUUAGAGACUAGACAGUGUGAUAGGGUGACAGUAUUAGAGACUAGACAGUGUGAUAGGGUGACAGUAUUCUAGACAGUGUGAUAGGGUGACAGUAUUAGAGACUAGACAGUGUGAUAGGGUGACAGUAUUAGAGACUAGACAGUGUGAUAGGGUGACAGUAUUCUAGACAGUGUGUUAGGAUGACAGUAUUCUAGACGGUGUGAUAGGGUGACAGUAUUAGAGACUAGACAGUGUGAUAGGGUGACAGUAUUCUAGACAGUGUGAUAGGGUGACAGUAUUAGAGACUAGACAGUGUGAUAGGGUGACAGUAUUAGAGACUAGACAGUGUGAUAUGGUGACAGUAUUCUAGACGCUGUGAUAGGGUGACAGUAUUAGAGACAGUGUGAUAGGGUGAUAGUAUUAGAGACGGUGUGAUAGGGUGACAGUAUUAGAGACUACACAGUGUGAUAGGGUGACAGUAUUAGAGACUAGACAGUGUGAUAGGGUGACAGUAUUAGAGACUAGACAGUGUGAUAUGGUGACAGUAUUAGAGACUAGACAGUGUGAUAGGGUGACAGUAUUAGAGAUUAGACAGUGUGA